rnacentral:rRNA from 1 species
GUGCCAGCAGCCGCGGUAAUACGGAGGGUGCAAGCGUUGUCCGGAAUCAUUGGGUGUAAAGGGUGCGUAGGCGGACUGCUAAGUCUGGGGUGAAAUCUUGCCGCUUAACGGUAAAAUUGCCUUGGAUACUGGUAGUCUUGAGUGUAGAAGAGGCAGGUGGAAUUCGUAGUGUAGCGGUGAAAUGCAUAGAUAUUACGAAGAACAUCAGUGGCGAAGGCGGCCUGCUGGUCUACAACUGACGCUGAGGCACGAAAGCGUGGGGAGCGAACAGGAUUAGAUACCCUGGUAGUGCUUGCCGUAAACGAUG